ACUCCUAGCCUAACUAUUGGACUAAUCUAUUUAAUUAUAGAAGCAAUACUGUUAAUAUGAGUAACAAGAAAAAUUUUCUCCUUGCACAAGCUUACAUCAGUGGCUGAUAAUAUGCUGAUAAUUAACAAUUAAUAAAUACAACCCAACACUAAAUUAUUUAUUAAACACACUGUUAACCCAACACAGGCGUGCACUAAGGAAAGAUUAAAAAAAGUAAAAGGAACUCGGCAAACACAAACCCCGCCUGUUUACCAAAAACAUCACCUCUAGCAUAGCCAGUAUUAGAGGCACUGCCUGCCCAGUGACUUAAUCGUUAAACGGCCGCGGUAUCUUGACCGUGCAAAGGUAGCAUAAUCACUUGUUCUCUAAAUAAGGACUUGUAUGAAUGGCCACACGAGGGUUUUACUGUCUCUUACUUUUAAUCAGUGAAAUUGACCUCCCCGUGAAGAGGCGGGGAUAAUAAAAUAAGACGAGAAGACCCUAUGGAGCUUUAAUUAAUCAACUCAAAAAAAUCGCAAAACAGUACCACUAAGGGAUAACAAAAUUUUAUAUGGGUUGACAAUUUCGGUUGGGGUGACCUCGGAGUAUAAAAAACCCUCCGAGUGAUUAAAACCUAGGCCUACUAGCCAAAGUGUAACAUCACUUAUUGAUCCAAAUUUUUGAUCAACGGAACAAGUUACCCUAGGGAUAACAGCGCAAUCCUAUUCUAGAGUCCGUAUCAACAAUAGGGAUUUAGCGACCUCGAUGUUGGAUCAGGACAUCCUGAUGGUGCAGCAGCU
rnacentral:rRNA from 1 species